ncrna:unclassified sequences S15-Flavobacteria ribosomal protein leader
UAUAUUUGCACUCGUUUUACAUAAAAAUCAUUGAUAUAAUAUUGGCAUG